AUUUUAGAAAAAUCUGUAGAAAUGUUGGAACAUAUGGCCUAAUUUUGGAAACAAAAUCUUAGAAAUAUGGGAACUCUGGGAACUUAUUUUGAAAAGAAUCUUAGAAGUGUGG